AAUUUACCAUUUCCAUCGCCUGGUUCACACUAUCAUGAGAUCAUUCACUGUUAGUCCACCAACAUGGUGCCAUUGUUUUGGCUUUCUCUCAUUUCUCUCACCUGUUUGCCACCAAAAGGAAUGGCACAACCCGACGGCUGCCUGUUACAGCCAAGGCGCGUCAUUUGGCGCGAACUUGGACAAGACGCCGUGAUCCAGUGCAGCGUCCGCCCCAACUGCUCAUCCGAAAGGCUCCACUACAGGUGGUUCGCUUUUGAGCGCAGAUCGCACGGCCGUCUUAACUUGGCACACAACCAUCACAAGUACAUCUUACACGGGGCCACUUUACAAAUUAUGUCCCUGAACGCCAACGACAGCGGGAUUUACUUCUGUGCCGCCACGACGUGGGGAGAACCGGCACCUGGCGCUCAGCAUGUCGGACUGGGAACGACUCUUGUUGUGAAGGGUAAGGAAGUAAAAAAAA